CGUUAAUUGGCGUCAGCUAACGUUGUAUUAGCUAAAGCAUAGAUGAUGCUAAAAAGUGCAGCUAGUAAGUUAGCUAAUGCUAGUUAGUUAAUACAAGCUAACGUUACUGUACUGUUUGUAAAAACUAUGGUUGUAGAGUGUUGUUUCUAAACAGUCCAGGAGGUCCAAACAGCAGGUAUACUUUAGCUGAUGCUAGCUUACAAAUAUAAUGAUUGUAGAUAUGUUUGCUUGUUAUCAUGUUUGAAAGUAAAAUGAAUCAACGAGAACAAUGUCCAUCUAGAAUCUUGCUAAGCACGGAAGACUGAAUUAACUAGCUAUUAGCCCCUGUUAAUAACGUUGAUGGUAAUUUUUAUGAAACCUAGCCUUAUGCUAAUAUUGUAUAGUCUGACAUUACUAAGUAUGAUGUGAGUUAGUAUUUGUGAGGAUUGCAUUGCAAGUAAAUAGUCUCUCUGGUUAGCUGAUGGUCCUACUUUUGUAUUGCAGAGUUAACAUUCUAUGUAAUGGGAGACAUGUUGUACCUGUAAGACAUGUUUAUUGAUAAACCUAUGAGAUGGCAUAUAUGGCAAGGAGAAAGCGCAAGAGCCAUGAAAUUAUGAGGCAAACCUAACUACUACUAUUUUUCCUUGCUUUCUUCCAGAUCUAAUGUUUGAGUGGAAAAUACAAAUAUGAAAAUAAAGAAAAUGAAUGAAGUGAAUGAGGAACAACAAGAAAUUACCCCAGUGACGACUACAGUUACUGUAGGUCCAGAAAUAAUUGGACACUGACACACGUUUUGUUAUUUUGGCUGUUUACCAAAAUAUAUUCAAGUUACAGUUAAAUAAUGAAUAUAUGCUUAAAGUGCAGUCUCUCAGCUUUAAUGUGAGAGUAUUCACAUCCAAACUGGAGGAAGGGUUUAGGAAUUACAGCUCUUUAAUAUGUAGCCACCUCUUUUUUAAGGGACCAAAUGUAAUUUGACAAUUGACUCAAAAGCUUUUUCAUGGACAGGUGUGGGUUAUUCCUUUAUUUCUUUAUCAAUUUAGCAUGUUAAAGGUCUGGAGUGGAUUCCACAUUUGGAAGCUGUUGCUGUGAACCCACAACAUGCAGGAGUUUUUUAAGGCAAAGAUGUGGAAUAUUCUGCAAUGGCCAGGUCAAUCCCCUGAUCUCAACUCGAUCAAGCAUGCAUUUCACUUGCUGACAACAAAACCUAAGGCAGAAUGACCCACGAACAAACAACAACUGAAGACAGCUGCAGUAAAGGCCUGGCAAAGCAUCACAAAGGAGGAAACCCAGCGUUUGGUGAUGUCCAUGCAUUCCAGACUUCAAGCAGUAAUUUAAUUUGUUUUUAAAUUUAUGAUUGUGUUAAUUUGUCCAAUCACAUUUGAGCCUCUGAAAUAAAGAGACU
ensembl:lncRNA